GCCUAACCAGCCAUAUUAAUGAUACCAUUCAUCCUUUAAAUCACCCAGAAAUUUUUUCUUGAGUUAUGUUCAUUACCGGAAUUAAUACUAUAUUUGAAUCCAAAUAAAAUUGGGUUUGGCGCUGGUCCUUGUAGACACGUGAUUUUGUCCUCUUAAAGUUUAAUUUUAUUCACUUUUAUCCAUUUUUACUUUAUCCUACUGUGUACCCUCAUCUACGUGAUUAUACCCCCAUAAAAAUACAAAAAUAACAAAUUUCCUAACAAAUUCUAUCCUAUCCUAACCCCAUUUACAACUCAUUUUAACAACCUACCCAAUUAAAAUAAACUACCUCACCACCUCAUCCACCCACCUACCCACGUGACCCUUCUCCCUACCUUUCUUUCUUAGUUUACAAGUUUUCUUGCAAUUGGAUUAUAUAGAAAAAGAAAACAACAAAAGAGGGGGCCCCACAGAAUAAUCCUCAAGCAAAAAGAAUUCUCCAUUUAUCCGUUGAGGGAGAUGGGGCAUCGAGGGUGAGCUGUAAGGUGAGAGGCAGAGAGAUUUUCAGAAAAAAAAAAAAGAGUGAACCAGAGACGCCAUUCUUCGUGCUCUCUUCUUUCUUCCUUUUGCAACACACACAAUUCUCACUCACCUUCACUCAUAAGACACACUCACAGAUCAUAUUCACACAACACUACAAAGCACACAGACGUAAAAAGGGGAAGAAGAAAGCCGCGAGUGAGCUCAAGAGGGCCAAAACAGUGAGAAAAAGGAUUAAAAAAAUGGACUGAACAUCGUCGAUCUCCGAUUGGAACAGUGAAUCUAUGAGAAAUCCGGUCAUCAUCGAGAUUUACCGGUGAUACUAUCGCCGGAAUCAAUUUUCGUAUAUUGAUUUGGCCGAUCAGUCUAAAAAUUCCCAAAAUCCCUUCGUUCCUCUUGAUUUCUGGGUUUAUCCGGUCGAAAUCUUCGAGAUUCGCCGAAAUCAAAUCUGCGCCUACGAUUCUCGCCGCCUUCUGAGCUCGUCGGAGCUCCGGCCUACGAAAGGGUGAAACCGAAGUCGGGAGUUCAUCUUCGGAGGUUGUGUUCUAGGUUUUCAGACGUAGACUCUCUUUAUUCAAAUAACAUUGAUUUUGAAAGCUCCGUCUUGAGGUCCAACUCUAUUCUCUUUCUCUUUUAUUUUAAUUUUUAUGGUAUUCGGUGCAUCGAAUUGAAUAUUGUGUUUGGUUGAUCGUUAUUGUGGA